UGUCCAGGAGAGGUACUCCUUGAAGGAAAGCCGUGGAGGUAUUAAGAGCUCUUGUGGAGUGAGCUUUAAUAACUACAGGCAGAGGCUUUUUGGACGCCAGAAAGAUUGUUUGAGGCAUUGACAUUGGGUGCUGUGUCUGGGUUGAAAUGAUGACGACGACUGUGGUUGUCAAGUAUUUCAUCAGUCUUGUCAUAAAAAAGACUGGCGCCAUCAAAAG